rnacentral:lncRNA from 1 species
UUGGCAGCAAUUUUGGUAAAACAAAAAGUGUUCACAAGAUGUUGUUUGUGAUGUCUUAACAUAAGAUAUCUAUGUACCUGUUGGAGUUUUAAAACAUAAUUAUGUAGGAUUGUUUCAGGAUGUCAUACACAAUAUCAUGGCAUUUGAUAUGUUUGUACAUGUUGGAAAUUAUAAAUGGAAUUAUGGAAUUAUGCAGGAUUGUUCCAGGAUGUCAGACCCGAUGUCUUGACAUCCUAUACACAGAACAUUCAGGGUGAAU